rnacentral:lncRNA from 1 species
GAUGGAGGUCAUGGAGAACUCGUCAAAUCCCAACAUCAAUUAUAUACCAGAUUGAUUCAACUCGAAUUCACUCAUGAAUCUUGUGAAAACUCUUUUUUAAUAUGCACACUUGCUUUGGCCAAAGACUUCCGUAACUUAGUCUCACGAAUUGCAUAGGACUUCUCUUUUUCUACGAAGAUCAAUAGAUUCUAUCUAAAUACAUCC